rnacentral:lncRNA from 1 species
CCACGCCUCCUUUUACUAUUAUUUCUAGAUCAUCCACGUGUUUUAGCAUGUUGAACCAGGUUUAUAUGUACGCGGGUGGGUCUGGCAUUUGUUGGCAACAUAUUUUGGGAUCAACAGAUUGACACCGUCUAUGAAAAACCAUACAAUAACCACGAGCAAUCAUGUGGAGGAAGCUUAUUGAAAAGAACAUUUGGGCAUCCCCCUUGAAAAAGGAUUUGAAGUUGAAACAUAAAAAUAUGAGUUCAGAUGAGGAUGUACCCCUCAAGAGGGUGAAAGAAAGUAUAGGGGCAGCCCCACCAACAGUAACCCCAACGGCUCGUUGCAGGCCCCACCUCCAUCACAAGAGAGGUAGUACAAUAAUGGCUGCCCAAAUCUCAUGUAACCAGGAUAACUUCCCAUCCCCAUAUGAGCCGGAACAAAGACCCAGAAGGUCAAGCAACAUUUUUGACAGAAUCAACCCAGCUGAACCAAGGCAAAGGUAGUAGCAACAACCUCGUGAGCCUCGAGCGAGGCCACAUCCCCCACCUCCAAUGACAGCAACCGGAUGAAAGGCAUGAAAAUGUCCCUCGUGAUAGUCCACCUAGAUAUAGGCGCCAAAGGAAGGAGGAGGAAGCUAGAAACUAGGUCGGUCCUUUAUAUCCGCCACCCAGAUAUGAAGUUGACGGGCACAAUGACUCAGAUGAACAGCAAAGGUCCUAUGACUUGGAUGAUGAUAAAGAAAAUCUACCAUUUUCAAGGGAGUUAAGGAAUGCCCAGGUAUCAAACCACUAUUUUAUGCCUAAAAUACCAAAAUAACAUGGAAAAGGCGACCAGAGAAGCAUUUGAAUACUUAUGACCCAUAUAAGCCUGAGAAGAGCCACUUCGACAAUAAA